rnacentral:rRNA from 1 species
CCUACGGGGGGCUGCAGUGGGGAAUAUUGGACAAUGGGGGCAACCCUGAUCCAGCCAUGCCGCGUGUGUGAAGAAGGCCCUCGGGUUGUAAAGCACUUUCAGUGAGGAAGAACGCCUGGUGGUUAAUACCCAUCAGGAAAGACAUCACUCACAGAAGAAGCACCGGCUAACUCCGUGCCAGCAGCCGCGGUAAUACGGAGGGUGCGAGCGUUAAUCGGAAUUACUGGGCGUAAAGCGCGCGUAGGUGGCUUGAUAAGCCGGUUGUGAAAGCCCCGGGCUCAACCUGGGAACGGCAUCCGGAACUGUCCAGCUAGAGUGCAGGAGAGGAAGGUAGAAUUCCCGGUGUAGCGGUGAAAUGCGUAGAGAUCGGGAGGAAUACCAGUGGCGAAGGCGGCCUUCUGGACUGACACUGACACUGAGGUGCGAAAGCGUGGGUAGCAAACAGGAUUAGAUACUCCGGUAGUC